rnacentral:rRNA from 1 species
GGAGUCCUACGGGACGCAGCAGUGGGGAAUAUUGCACAAUGGGGGGAACCCUGAUGGAGCAACGCCGCGUGGGUGAAGAAGGUCUUCGGAUCGUAAAACCCUGUUGUUAGAGAAGAAAGUGCGUGAGAGUAACUGUUCACGUUUCGACGGUAUCUAACCAGAAAGCCACGGCUAACUACGUGCCAGCAGCCGCGGUAAUACGUAGGUGGCAAGCGUUAUCCGGAUUUAUUGGGCGUAAAGGGAACGCAGGCGGUCUUUUAAGUCUGAUGUGAAAGCCUUCGGCUUAACCGGAGUAGUGCAUUGGA